rnacentral:rRNA from 1 species
AGUGAACGCUGGCGGUAGGCCUAACACAUGCAAGUCGAACGGCAGCACAGUAAGAGCUUGCUCUUACGGGUGGCGAGUGGCGGACGGGUGAGGAAUACAUCGGAAUCUACUUUUUCGUGGGGGAUAACGUAGGGAAACUUACGCUAAUACCGCAUACGACCUACGGGUGAAAGCAGGGGAUCUUCGGACCUUGCGCGAGGGAAGGAGCCGAUGUCGGAUUAGCUAGUUGGCGGGGUAAAGGCCCACCAAGGCGACGAUCCGUAGCUGGUCUGAGAGGAUGAAUCGCCAGCCUGGAAGUGAGAAACGGUCGCGACUCCUACGGGAGGCAGCGGUGGGGAAUAUUGGACAAUGGGGGAAAGCCUGAUCCAGCCCUACCGCGUGGGUGAAGAAGGCGUUCGGGUUGUAAAGCCCUUUUGUUGGGAAAGAAAAGCAGCAGGUUAAUACCCCGCUGUUCUGACGGUACCCAAAGAAUAAGCACCGGCUAACUUCGUG